rnacentral:rRNA from 1 species
UUUUCUCCGGGUGUGUUGUGAUCUGCCGAAGGGCUACUGCUAUUCAGAGGAUCGAUUAGCCAUGCGAGUCAGGGGACUUCGGUCACCGGCGGAAUGCUCAGUAACACGUGGACAAUCUGCCCUCGGGUGGGGAAUAAACUCGCGAAAGUGAGGCUAAUACCCCAUAGGCACAGGAGGCUGGAAUGCAUCUGUGCCCAAAGCUCCGGCGCCCGAGGAUGAGUCUGCGGCCUAUCAGGUUGUAGUCAGGGUCAUGACCUGACUAGCCAGCGACGGGUAUGGGGUGUGAGAGCACUUGCCCAGAGAUGGUUUCUGAGACACGAAACCAGGCCCUACGGGGCGCAGCAGGCGCGAAAACUUCGCAAUGCGGGAAACCGUGACGAGGGGACUCCAAGUGUCUAUGCAUUGCAUAGACUGUUUUUUAGCCUAAAUAGCUAUUAGAGUAAGGGGUGGGCAAGACCGGUGCCAGCCGCCGCGGUAACACCGGCACCCCGAGUGGUAGCCACUAUUAUUGGGCCUAAAGCGUUCGUAGCCGGUUUGGUAAAUUCUUGGGUAAAUCGUACCGCUUAACGGUGCGUAUUCCGGGGACACUACCAGACUUGAGACCGGGGGAGAUCAGAGGUACUUGCGGGGGAGCGGUGAAAUGUUGUAAUCCCGCAGGGACCACCAGUGGCGAAGGCGUCUGAUCAGAACGGCUCUGACGGUGAGGAACGAAACCCUGGGGCGCAAACGGGAUUAGAUACCCCGGUAGUCCAGGGCGUAAACGCUGCUGACUUGGUGUUGGGGAUCCUACGAGGAUGUCCAGUGCUGGCGCGAAGGUAUUUAGUCAGCCGCCUGGGGAGUACGGUCGCAAGACUGAAACUAAAGAAUGGCGGGGAGCACUGCAACGGCUGAGCGUGCGGUUUAAUUGGAUCACCACCCCGCCCGGGAA